UCUACUGUGGACCGGAUGUGGCCUCGCUUUACCGGCGGAAGCGACCGUGGACGGUCGACUGGGUCAGAGCGAUCUCUGUGGGCGUGGCGGAUCCUCCCCGUGGAAGUGCUGGGGUGGAAGGACAUGCUACGGUCUCAUCUCCUAUAGAGAUUAUUAAGGAUGCACCCCAGUGCACACUUCGAUGGAAGGAAGCCUCGCCGGACAUAAUGAGACUUACUUCCCCAGUUUGACUUUCCUCUGCCCAGUUGCAUGCAGUUGUCUCCUGAAGUGUUUCCAUCUGCAUUCCAUCCUUUGUGCUGCAUCAACUCAGCGAAGCAUUUUAUGUGGCCAGUAGACAGAAGAGCAGACGUCAUCCAAAUCACCGUGACUCCAUAUGAAAAAAGCUAACUUUGCUCUACUGCGUUAUGUGAAAAAUGGCAGUUUCAUUGGCCUUGGUGCUUUUGUAUUUUAAGCUGUUAGUAGCAUAAUUAUGUAAAAUACAAAAAUCAAGUAAUUCCA